rnacentral:rRNA from 1 species
ACGGAAGGCAGCAGCUAAGAAUAUUCCGCAAUGGACGAAAGUCUGACGGAGCGACGCCGCGUGGAUGAUGAAGGUCGGAAGAUUGUAAAAUCCUUUUAAGCAUGAAGAAUAAGCAUUGUAGGGAAUGACAGUGUGGUGACAGUACAAUUUGAAUAAGCAACGGCUAAUUACGUGCCAGCAGCCGCGGUAACACGUAAGUUGCGAGCGUUGUUCGGAAUUAUUGGGCGUAAAGGGCAUGUAGGCGGUUGUAAAAGCUUGGUGUGAAAUCUAUGGGCUCAACCCAUAAACUGCAUUGAGAACUGUACGACUAGAGUUACUAAGGGGAAACUAGAAUUCCAGGUGUAGGGGUGGAAUCUGUAGAUAUCUGGAAGAAUACCAAUGGCGAAGGCAAGUUUCUAGUAGAUAACUGACGCUGAGGUGCGAAGGUGCGGGGAGCAAACAGGAUUAGAUACCCUGGUA